UGCUAGCAGCCGCGGUAAUACGGAGGGGGCAAGCGUUGUUCGGAAUUACUGGGCGUAAAGGGCACGUAGGUGGCUAUGUAAGUUGGAUGUGAAAGCCCUGGGCUCAACCUAGGAACUGCAUUCAAAACUGCAUAGCUAGAGUAGAAUAGAGGGAAGUGGAAUUUCCGGUGUAGCGGUGAAAUGCGUAGAUAUCGGAAGGAACACCAGUGGCGAAGGCGACUUCCUGGAUUCAUACUGACACUGAGGUGCGAAAGCGUGGGGAGCAAACAGGAUUAGAUA
rnacentral:rRNA from 1 species